rnacentral:rRNA from 1 species
UACGGAGGGUGCAAACGUUGCUCGGAAUCAUUGGGCGUAAAGCGCACGUAGGCGGUUUGUUAAGUCGGAUGUGAAAGCCCUCGGCUCAACCGAGGAAGUGCAUACGAAACUGGCGAACUUGAAUAUGGAAGAGGGUCGCGGAAUUCCCGGUGUAGAGGUGAAAUUCGUAGAUAUCGGGAGGAACACCAGUGGCGAAGGCGGCGACCUGGGCCAAUAUUGACGCUGAGGUGCGAAAGCGUGGGGAGCAAACAGG